rnacentral:lncRNA from 1 species
UUCAAAGUACCAUAUUGAAAAUUAGACAAAUGAAAAUUAGAUCUUUAACCAAAUUUAGCAUGUUAUCUAAAUGUAAUAUCUUAAUAGUCUGCAUUAUAUAUUAUGAAUCUGCAUUAAAAAUAGCAUUUUAAAUGGUGAAUCCAUAAUUUUGGAUUCCCAAAACCAUAUUUGUGAUGUAUCCUGACUAAGACAGGUUGUUGGAGGAGUAUUAGAAGCAGAAUGAAACCGCUUAUUUUGGUUUCAUAAUAUGUACAUAUUGACUCCCAUUAUUUUUCAUUAUCCUAAUUUAAAACUGUACGAAGCUUUUCUCUGUCUUUCUAAUGGGAGCAUUGAUAAAAUGUUUAAAUGCCAUGCAUAUUAAGAUUAGCCUAACCUAGGAUCUUGUUAAAUUAAAGACACAUUUGUUCACUUUUAUACUCUAGAUAGAAUAAUUUAUAUUUCUGAUCAUGAAUCAAGUAUCUGAGGAUUCGUGUCCCUUUCUGU